GGGAGGCUGAGGCAGGAGAAUCACUUAAACCCAGGAAGCGGAGGUUGCAGUGAGCUGAGAUCACUCCAUUGCACACCAAUGGUGGCCAGUUUUUGAAAUCUAGGAUGAUGGGGAGCCAGAUCGGGAUCCUGUGCCAUGCAUUUGAAGCCUCCCCAUAGAGACCGUCGAAAAUUGCCAAUGCUGAUUAUAUUUCAAGUCAUCAUGGAGUCAUUGGCUAUGAUACUGCCACUGCACAAAGCUGGCCCCAUCUCAAAAACAAGUUAUAUGUGGAUUUGUGGCUGCAUGGAGGAGGGCUGACACCCCUAACCCCUGCAUUGUUCAAGGGUCAACUAUAAUAUAAACAUAACUUCACUGAGAAAUCAAAAAAUUUGUGACCUGCUUUAUUGUGGUAGUCUGGAAGCAAACCUACAGCAUCUGAGGUAUGCCUGUCCAGUCCCUGUUCCCACAGAAUGUGAAUGGAUGCUAGACAUUCACUUAGUAUUCCGAGGAAACAAGAUGGGUUUGGCACCUGAGCUGAAGCCAUGCUGGCUCCAGAGCGAUAGAACAUUCUUUCCCACUAUCUCCCAGGAGGCUGAAUAACGGCAUCCUACUGUGUCUAGGCAAUCACUAAGCUCACUGGACUUGAUUUAUCCGUUAAAACUGCUCUGGGAUCU
rnacentral:lncRNA from 1 species